GAAAAGAAGAACUUGAACCGGUCAAAAUCUGGAAAAUCAUCAUGGGGUGGAACGGUAAAAGGACUUGUUGGUCUUGUGGAAAGAUAUCAACUCUUGUCACAGCGAGCUGAGAACUUACUGAGGAACUUAAAGCUAAAUUUCCCCGGCCUUCCACAAACUGCACUGGACAUGACCAAGAUUCAGUAUAACAAGGAUGUAGGACAUUCAAUCCUUGAGAGCUACUCUAGAGUGUUGGAGAGUUUGGCCUUUAACUUGAUGGCAAGGAUUGAAGAUCUACUAUAUGUAGAUGAUGCCACAAGGCGGCGUGCAGCUGAAGAGUCGGCCGCAAUGCUCGACCAGCGAGGAUUCUUUAACGCGCAGUCCCUACAGAAUCAGGUUCCGUGUGCUUCCAAUUUUGCCCGAAAUAACUCUCUCCCCUCCUCAAAAGCUUUCAGUUCCUUGGAUAUAGUAGCUGAAAGCCCAGAGAGAACAGCUCAUUCAAUUGGGCAUACUGUUCUUAGCAGCCCACGAGCUGAG
rnacentral:misc_RNA from 1 species